AUCAUCACUGAUGCCUCUCCUUCCAUCGUGUGUCUCUCGGAGACCAAGCUAGAUCUUGUCACGCCCGCGGUCACCCUCAAGACGCUCGGCUCUCUCUUCAGUGACUUCUACUGCUUACCGGCCACGGGGACGAGGGGAGGCAUUCUUCUUGCGUGGCGGAUCGACCACGUCAAUCUCUCUAGCCCCUCCAUAGGCUCCUACCAUGUCUCCGCCGUGGUAUCCACCCCAUCAGGCAAGCAUCCCUGGUGGAUUACCGGCGUGUAUGGUCCUCAGUCCGACGAUGACAAGAUGGCUUUCCUUAACGAGCUCCAUGAGCUUCGCGCCACCAUGGCCGGGCCCUAG
rnacentral:rRNA from 1 species